GCUUUUACGGGAAGCAGAGAAACUUGUUAAUUCCAAGAUCCAUCCAAUGACUAUUAUUGCAGGUUACAGAAUGGCUUCUGAAUGUGCACGAAAUGCCUUGUUGCAGAAAGCCAUGGAUAACAAAGAAGAUCCUGAAAAGUUUAAGUCUGAUCUCAUGAAGAUUGCGAUGACAACUUUGAGUUCAAAAAUUCUUUCCCAAGAUAAAGAGCAUUUUGCUAAACUUGCGGUGGAUGCUGUGAUGCGACUUAAGGGUAGCACAAACCUGGAAUCUAUCCAAAUUAUCAAGAAAGCU
rnacentral:misc_RNA from 1 species